UACGAACGCUGGCGGCGUGCUUAACACAUGCAAGUCGAACGGAAAGGCCCUGCUUUUGUGGGGUGCUCGAGUGGCGAACGGGUGAGUAACACGUGAGUAACCUGCCCUUGACUUUGGGAUAACUUCAGGAAACUGGGGCUAAUACCGGAUAGGAGCUCCUGCUGCAUGGUGGGGGUUGGAAAGUUUCGGCGGUUGGGGAUGGACUCGCGGCUUAUCAGCUUGUUGGUGGGGUAGUGGCUUACCAAGGCUUUGACGGGUAGCCGGCCUGAGAGGGUGACCGGCCACAUUGGGACUGAGAUACGGCCCAGACUCCUACGGGAGGCAGCAGUGGGGAAUAUUGCACAAUGGGCGGAGGCCUGAUGCAGCAACGCCGCGUGCGGGAUGACGGCCUUCGGGUUGUAAACCGCUUUCGCCUGUGACGAAGCGUGAGUGACGGUAAUGGGUAAAGAAGCACCGGCUAACUACGUGCCAGCAGCCGCGGUGAUACGUAGGGUGCGAGCGUUGUCCGGAUUUAUUGGGCGUAAAGGGCUCGUAGGUGGUUGAUCGCGUCGGAAGUGUAAUCUUGGGGCUUAACCCUGAGCGUGCUUUCGAUACGGGUUGACUUGAGGAAGGUAGGGGAGAAUGGAAUUCCUGGUGGAGCGGUGGAAUGCGCAGAUAUCAGGAGGAACACCAGUGGCGAAGGCGGUUCUCUGGGCCUUUCCUGACGCUGAGGAGCGAAAGCGUGGGGAGCGAACAGGCUUAGAUACCCUGGUAGUCCACGCUGUAAACGGUGGGUACUAGGUGUGGGGUCCAUUCCACGGGUUCCGUGCCGUAGCUAACGCUUUAAGUACCCCGCCUGGGGAGUACGGCCGCAAGGCUAAAACUCAAAGGAAUUGACGGGGCCCCGCACAAGCGGCGGAGCAUGCGGAUUAAUUCGAUGCAACGCGUAGAACCUUACCUGGGUUUGACAUGGAUCGGGAGUGCUCAGAGAUGGGUGUGCCUCUUUUGGGGUCGGUUCACAGGUGGUGCAUGGCUGUCGUCAGCUCGUGUCGUGAGAUGUUGGGUUAAGUCCCGCAACGAGCGCAACCCUUGUUCACUGUUGCCAGCACGUUAUGGUGGGGACUCAGUGGAGACCGCCGGGGUCAACUCGGAGGAAGGUGGGGAUGACGUCAAGUCAUCAUGCCCCUUAUGUCCAGGGCUUCACGCAUGCUACAAUGGCUGGUACAGAGAGUGGCGAGCCUGUGAGGGUGAGCGAAUCUCGGAAAGCCGGUCUCAGUUCGGAUUGGGGUCUGCAACUCGACCUCAUGAAGUCGGAGUCGCUAGUAAUCGCAGAUCAGCAACGCUGCGGUGAAUACGUUCCCGGGGCUUGUACACACCGCCCGUCAAGUCAUGAAAGUUGGUAACACCCGAAGCCGGUGGCCUAACCGUUGUGGGGGAGCCGUCGAAGGUGGGAC
rnacentral:rRNA from 1 species